AGAGUUUGAUCCUGGCUCAGGAUGAACGCUAGCUACAGGCUUAACACAUGCAAGUCGAGGGGAAACGAUAUUGGAAGCUUGCUUCCGAUAGGCGUCGACCGGCGCACGGGUGAGUAACGCGUAUCCAACCUGCCCAUCACUUGGGGAUAACCUUGCGAAAGUAAGACUAAUACCCAAUGACGUCUCUAGAAGACAUCUGAAAGAGAUUAAAGAUUUAUCGGUGAUGGAUGGGGAUGCGUCUGAUUAGCUUGUUGGCGGGGUAACGGCCCACCAAGGCGACGAUCAGUAGGGGUUCUGAGAGGAAGGUCCCUCACAUUGGAACUGAGACACGGUCCAAACUCCUACGGGAGGCAGCAGUGAGGAAUAUUGGUCAAUGGGCGAGAGCCUGAACCAGCCAAGUAGCGUGCAGGAAGACGGCCCUAUGGGUUGUAAACUGCUUUUAUAAGGGAAUAAAGUGAGUCUCGUGAGACUUUUUGCAUGUACCUUAUGAAUAAGGACCGGCUAAUUCCGUGCCAGCAGCCGCGGUAAUACGGAAGGUCCGGGCGUUAUCCGGAUUUAUUGGGUUUAAAGGGAGCGUAGGCCGGAGAUUAAGCGUGUUGUGAAAUGUAGACGCUCAACGUCUGCACUGCAGCGCGAACUGGUUUCCUUGAGUACGCACAAAGUGGGCGGAAUUCGUGGUGUAGCGGUGAAAUGCUUAGAUAUCACGAAGAACUCCGAUUGCGAAGGCAGCUCACUGGAGCGCAACUGACGCUGAAGCUCGAAAGUGCGGGUAUCUAAAAAGAUUAGAUACCCUGGUAGUCCGCACGGUA
rnacentral:rRNA from 1 species